AUGCACGCUGGCGGCGUGCCUCAUCCAUGCAAGUCGCGCGAACGGACGAGAAGCUUGCUUUUCUGAUGUUAGCGGCGGACGGGUGAGUAACACGUGGAUAACCUACCUAUAAGACUGGGAUAACUUCGGGAAACCGGAGCUAAUACCGGAUAAUAUUUUGAACCGCAUGGUUCAAAAGUGAAAGACGGUCUUGCUGUCACUUAUAGAUGGAUCCGCGCUGCAUUAGCUAGUUGGUAAGGUAACGGCUUACCAAGGCAACGAUGCAUAGCCGACCUGAGAGGGUGAUCGGCCACACUGGAACUGAGACACGGUCCAGACUCCUACGGGAGGCAGCAGUAGGGAAUCUUCCGCAAUGGGCGAAAGCCUGACGGAGCAACGCCGCGUGAGUGAUGAAGGUCUUCGGAUCGUAAAACUCUGUUAUUAGGGAAGAACAUAUGUGUAAGUAACUGUGCACAUCUUGACGGUACCUAAUCAGAAAGCCACGGCUAACUACGUG
rnacentral:rRNA from 1 species